GUGAAAAAAUGCUUUGGAAAAAUUUCCGCCCUUGCUGGCCAGAGUUGGCCAAAGAUCAUAUUUUCACGUAAAGUUUGCACUAAUAUUGAGCUGUACAGUUUUCUGGGAGAGGUCUCACUGGUCUGUUUGCAACAUUGAAGGCUUCCCACGUGUACGCAAGCGUACCUAUUUUUGUUAAUGCAUUUUGUCAAA